UACGUAGGGGGCGAGCGUUGUCCGGAAUCAUUGGGCGUAAAGCGCGUGUAGGCGGUUCAGUAAGUCCGCUCUGAAAGCCCGGGGCUUAACCCCGGGAGGCGGGUGGAUACUGCUGAGCUUGAGUCCGGAAGAGGCGAGUGGAAUUCCCGGUGUAGCGGUGAAAUGCGCAGAUAUCGGGAGGAACACCAAUGGCGAAGGCAGCUCGCUGGGACGUGACUGACGCUGAGACGCGAAAGCGUGGGGAGCAAACAGG
rnacentral:rRNA from 1 species